ACGCCUGGUCGAAGCGAACGUGAAACCGCUGCGGAAAUCCGGUCGAUUCGCCGCAGCGGUUUC
rnacentral:sRNA from 1 species